rnacentral:rRNA from 1 species
UACAGAGGGUGCUAGCGUUAAUCGGAUUUACUGGGCGUAAAGGGCGCGUAGGCGGCCUUCUUAGUCGGACGUGAAAUCCCCAGGCUCAACUUGGGAACUGCGUCCGAUACUGGAUGGCUUGAGUGCGGGAGAGGGAUGUGGAAUUCCAGGUGUAGCGGUGAAAUGCGUAGAUAUCUGGAGGAACACCGGUGGCGAAGGCGGCAUCCUGGACCGACACUGACGCUGAGGCGCGAAAGCUAGGGGAGCAAACGGG